AUAAAUACCUAUCGAUGCGGGUAUUUACUACGAACUCUCAGCGUAUUUUGCUUUCUCCCAGGACAUUCAGCUCCUCUCCGCGUCUGUGUCUGCCCAAGCUGUGCCUCAUGUAAUGUGAAAGCCUUUCCGUGUAUACUAGCUACACUAUUUUUAUCGCGUUACUUAGAUCUUUGCCAUCACACCACUUUCUUAUCUGGUGACAGAGACUAUGCCCUCGUGCUGCAACGUUAUUUUAUUAUUUGUGUGGGUGGGUGGGUGAGUGCGAGCUGCGCUGCUGCGGGCGGCCGCGGCCCCGUCCGGCCGGGGGCAGCGGGAGGGCAGCGCGGGUGCGUGCGGGGCGCGUGUGCGGCGUGCGUGUGCGGUGGGAACGUGGACGUAUAUGCACACAUCGGUGUUCUGUUUUUGUUUUUUAUAAUUCGGGAGGGGACCGCAUAUACAGUUUUGUCGGAUAGUCCUGGUUACAUUCAUAAUAAACAGCAUAUACUCUGCCAUCACCGCCCGCUGCGUGUUCCAGUGCUCGUCCCGGGGCCGGCCGGCUCUGAGCCCCUUUCGGCACCGCGGCCCGGGCCGCCGAUCGCUCCCGUUUGCCCCGUUCGUGCGACGCCUUCGGGAGGCGGCGGUGUGUCUGUGUCUGUGUCUGUGUCUGUGUCUGUGUCUGUGUCUGUGUCUGUGUCUGUGUCUGUGCCGCGUGCAGGUGCGAUCCCGCCGGGCGCUGCGGGGCCGGGGCGGAGGGAGCGACCGGGUGGGACGCGACGGCGUCGGGACACGCGGAGACGCCGCGCGGCCGCUCGCGGUGCCGGACCCCGCCCCUCCCCCGGGGAGUUUCGCCCCGGCCGGGCACACGGACGCCGCUCCGGGGCUCGACGCGGCACGACCCUCCCCCCUCUCCUUCCCCCCCGGGGUAACGGCUACCACGAGGCACCGGGCAGCUCGACCGCCGGCCCGAAAGGACGACCCCGCCCCGCCUCGGCGCGCCCGGGGUCGGGUUCGGGGCCGCAGCACGAGGGGAGGCGGCUCGAGCGGCAGCUGCGAUAG
rnacentral:lncRNA from 1 species